UACAGAGGGUGCAAGCGUUGUUCGGAAUUAUUGGGCGUAAAGGGCGCGUAGGCGGUGCGGUAAGUCUGCGGUGAAAUCUCCCGGCUCAACUGGGAGGCUGCCGUGGAAACUGCCGUGCUUGAGUGUGGGAGAGGUGAGUGGAAUUCCCGGUGUAGCGGUGAAAAUGCGUAGAUAUCGGGAGGAACACCUGUGGCGAAAGCGGCUCACUGGACCACAACUGACGCUGAGGCGCGAAAAGCGUGGGGAGCGAACGAGGAAUUGAUAA
rnacentral:rRNA from 1 species